ACAUGCAGUCGAACGGAAGGCCCUUCGGGGUGCUCGAGUGGCGAACGGGUGAGUAACACGUGGGUGAUCUGCCCUGCACUUUGGGAUAAGCCUGGGAAACUGGGUCUAAUACCGAAUAGGACUCCGGCCUUCAUGGGUUGGGGUGGAAAGCUUUUGCGGUGUGGGAUGGGCCCGCGGCCUAUCAGCUUGUUGGUGGGGUAAUGGCCUACCAAGGCGACGACGGGUAGCCGGCCUGAGAGGGUGACCGGCCACACUGGGACUGAGAUACGGCCCAGACUCCUACGGGAGGCAGCAGUGGGGAAUAUUGCACAAUGGGCGCAAGCCUGAUGCAGCGACGCCGCGUGAGGGAUGACGGCCUUCGGGUUGUAAACCUCUUUCAGCACAGACGAAGCGCAAGUGACGGUAUGUGCAGAAGAAGGACCGGCCAACUACGUGCCAGCAGCCCGGUAAAUAUUAUUUCCGUGCCAGCAGCCGCGGUAAUAA
rnacentral:rRNA from 1 species